rnacentral:tRNA from 1 species
CAAUUUAAAACUUAAUUAGUGAAGUUUUUCAUUUACAUUGAAAAUUUAUUUGUGCAAAUCAAAUUGAAUUGA